rnacentral:rRNA from 1 species
AUGUUCACCUUGAUCGAGAGCCUGUCGCAGGAGAGUUUUGCCUUGCUGGCGGUCACGGCGUGGUCGAUAUGGCAUGCUCGCCAUAAAGCUAUUCAUGAGACAAUUUUCCAAAGCCCUCAUCAGAAACACUCUUUCAUCACAAGUUUCAUGGCAGAUCUCGGUGUUAUCAAUGAUUCAAACUGACGUCCUCGACAAGGAGUCAUUCAGGCUCCGCAACAAAGACAGAUCCCAAAGAAACCACCUCCGGGAGCUUGCAAAAUACAUGUUGACGCCGCUGUUUGCGCCAGAAGAGGAGGAGCGGCUGCUGCAGUUUGCAGAGAUGAGGCGGGGAAUUACAUGGGGGCUUCGGCGCUGGUUCUGGAGGGUGUCACUGACCCUGCGUCUUUGAAAGAGAUAGCUUGCCGUGAGGUGUUGUGUUUGGCGGAGGACCUGAAUAUCCACAAUUUUGUCAUUGCAUCAGAUUGCAAACAGGUAGUGUCAGAUAUUGGCCACAAUGCUGGAGGAAGAUAUGGAGCAAUUAUCAACGAGAUUCGCCUUUGAACUGUUAAUGUCCAAUGUAAUUUUACUUUCGAGUGUCGUGCUGCGAACUAUGAAGCACACGGUUUAGCAAAAUUUUCCCUUUCUAGAGGUCUGGGUCGCCACGUCUGGUUUGGCGUUCCGUAUAACCAGAUCCGUAUCCCACUUCAGGUGGCUUUUGAUGAAUAA